UUCCUCGCCUUCUUGUUCAUCUACUUCCGCUUCUUCUUCUGCUUCUGUAGCUGCUACUUUUCCACCUUCUUCUUGGCUCUUAUCAUCUUCCAUUUCUUCUUCUUCAUCCUUUUUUUCUUUACUCUUCUGCCACAACAGAGGCCAACUCAUCCAUUUUGCUCCUUUUUUCUCUUUCUUCAUUCCUCUCCGAUUUAUUAAGGUUCACAU
rnacentral:lncRNA from 1 species